AAGUCGUACAAGGUCUCCGUAGGUGAACCUGCGGAGGGAUCAUUACCGAGUGGAGGGCGCUCCGGCGCCCGACCUCCAACCCUUUUGAUUUGAUCAAGACCUCCUUCUGCUCGGGGCGACCGGCUUCGGCGGCGGUCCCCGGCGGUACCCAACUCAACCCUGCAUCAUUGUCGUCUGAGCAUUGAGCGAAUUCAAUCAAAACUUUCAACAACGGAUCUCUUGGUUCUGGCAUCGAUGAAGAACGCAGCGAAAUGCGAUAAGUAAUGUGAAUUGCAGAAUUCAGUGAAUCAUCGAAUCUUUGAACGCACAUUGCGCCCCUGGCAUCCGGGGGCAUGCCCGUUCGAGCGUCAUUACACCACUCAAGCCUGGCUUGGUAUUGGGCGGUCGGGAUGCACCCGCGCCUCUAUGUUUGUUCGGCUGGACGGUCUGAAUCUCAGCGUUGUGCAAUCAAUCGCUGUGGGACUGACUGGACGCGCGUGAAAAUCUCAUCACAGGUUGACCUCGGAUCGGGUAGGGAUACCGCUGAACUUAA
rnacentral:rRNA from 1 species